UUUGAAAAGCCAAAAGCUUGCAUUCUCAGGAAAAUACAUAACCCCAGGAAUCAACGCUUUGUGAAAAGCUGCAAAUGCUGUGAGACUAGCACUGGAACUGGGGAAACGGGCAACAAGCCCAUACAAAGCGAUUACCCAGCAAGUUCACGUGGCUGAUGAAAUUACUACAGAGCAAUUUGUAGUCACCUACAAAUCAGAGAUAUCAGGCCUUGAAAAACAGAGACUAUUCAGUGUUACUUCCAAAUCCCAAGUCUCCUUCCGACACAGCAUUAUCCUUCUGCUAAGUGGUAGCAGAUGAGAGAGUUCUGAUCACUGCACGAACACGAGAGCAUUCCUGCCUCCAACACAUGCCCCUUCCUAAGGACCGAGGCCG
ensembl:lncRNA